GACGAACCGAGCGAACGUUGUUCGGAAUCACUGGGCUUAAAGGGCGCGUAGGCGGGCCGCCAAGUCUGUGGUGAAAUCCCCCGGCUCAACCGGGGAACGGCCGCGGAUACUGGAGGUCUCGAGGGAGGUAGGGGCAUGCGGAACUACGGGUGGAGCGGUGAAAUGCGUAGAUAUCUGGAGGAACACCGGUGGCGAAGGCGGCAUCCUGGACCGAGAUUGACGCUGAGGCGCGAAAGCCAGGGGAGCAAACGGG
rnacentral:rRNA from 1 species